UACAGAGGGGGCAAGCGUUGUUCGGAAUUACUGGGCGUAAAGGGCGCGUAGGCGGCCUUCUAAGUCGAACGUGAAAUCCCCGGGCUCAACCCGGGAACUGCGUCCGAUACUGGAAGGCUUGAAUCCGGGAGAGGGAUGCGGAAUUCCGAGGUGUAGCGGUGAAAUGCGUAGAUAUCAGGAGGAACACCGGUGGCGAAGGCGGGUCUCUGGGCAGUGAACUGACGCUGAGGAGCGAAAGCGUGGGGAGCGAACAGG
rnacentral:rRNA from 1 species